rnacentral:rRNA from 1 species
UUCGCCCUUAGAGUUUGAUGGUGGCUCACACAAGCGGUGGAGGAUGUGGUUUAAUUCGAAGCAACGCGAAGAACCUUACCAGGCCUUGACAUAAUGGGAUUAACCGAAUGAAAGUUUGGGGAUUGCUCUUACGAGUGUAACCAUUACAGGUGCUGCAUGGCUGUCGUCAGCUCGUGCCGUGAGGUGUUAGGUUAAGUCCUUUAACGAGCGAAACCCCUACGUUUAGUUGCCAGCGGGUCAUGCCGGGGACUCUAGACGGACUGCCGCGUUUAAGUUGGAGGAAGGUGGGGACGACGUCAAGUCAUCAUGGCCCUUAUGGCCUGGGCUACACACGUCCUACAAUGGGUAAUACAAUGGGUCGCUAAGCCGUGAGGUGGUGCUAAUCUCAUAAAGUUAUCCUCAGUUCGGAUUGGAGGCUGCAAUUCGCCUCCAUGAAGCCGGAAUCGCUAGUAAUCGCAGGUCAGCUACACUGCGGUGAAUAUGUUCCUGAGCCUUGUACACACCGCCCGUCAAGCCACCCGAAUUGGUCGCACCCGAAGUCAUAGUUCUAACCGUAAGGAGGGACGUGCCGAA